AUAUAAUACAUCAAUAUCAAGAUAUUUCGACUUCAAGUUUAAGUCGUUAUACAGAGUAAAUAUAAUAACAUAUCAUGUCUUUACAUAUAAUGUGCGCAUGCGUUUUAGUAGCAUUGAUGGGUCCAGAUGAAUGUUCGAGGUUCAAGUCUCAAACGUUUCGAAAACAUUCCAUCCAAUAAGGUGGAAGUCUUUGUUAUUCUUCCUUCAAGUCGUGCAAACGGGAAUGCGAGACGGAAACUUGAUUUUUAACGCUUUUCCAAGAGACCAUAAAAGGUAUGAAUAAGUAGCAGUAUACCAAACAAACUGUAAUUAAGACAAGUAAUCGCGAAUCAUCUUUUCAAGCAGCCACAGCGAAAGUUGAAAACAAGAUCAAGGAGAGCGAUGGGCGGUGCAGUUGCCAUUAUGUGUGAAGUGUCUCUACAACCCUGCUACCGUCAACACCACCACCGAUGCCGCCGUUACUGCUGACGUCUCUAAAACUACCAUCAUCACCACUGUCUAUCAAGUUGAUUUGAAUAUUUUAUAUAACAUUACAUUUAUGAAAAUCCUA